CGAGUCGGCGGCGUCCUCCGCUCGCUCCUUGUGGUGUGCCGCGGCCUCGUAAAGCUGCCAGGGUGGCAGGGGCGCUUCACGGACACCGUCCCCAAGUGGACCCUUAAACUCCGCUGUCAACGGGGACCUCUCCGCUCUCCUCCCUCUCCUCUCUCUCUCUCUGUCUCUCUUCUCCUUCGCCUUUCAGAGGCAAGGUUUGGCCACGUACGGUGCGAAAGAAGUUCAACACGCGAGUCCAUCGACGUGCGACGCGAGACGGUGGGGAGGGGCAGAGGAGCAGCCUCGCCUGCGGCUCCAGAGCCUCGUGCGGCUCUUUGAGUGGCUCCCGACACAACAAUAAUUGCAAAGUCUAGAAGAAGUUACUUGUGGCCGACUCACGUCUUGGAAGACGACGUGGGAGUACUCACACUUUACACCACCACCACCACCAAAGACAAAGAUCACCCGUAUAGCCUUUAACAGAAUG